UACGUAGGGCGCAAGCGUUAAUCGGAAUUACUGGGCGUAAAGCGUGCGCAGGCGGCUUUGUAAGCCAGAUGUGAAAUCUCCGGGCUUAACCUGGGAAUGGCAUUUGGGACUGCAAGGCUUGAGUGCGGCAGAGGAGACUGGAAUUCCUGGUGUAGCAGUGAAAUGCGUAGAUAUCAGGAGGAAUACCGAUGGCGAAGGCAGGUCUCUGGGCUGACACUGACGCUCAUGCACGAAAGCGUGGGGAGCAAACAGG
rnacentral:rRNA from 1 species